rnacentral:rRNA from 1 species
AUUGAACGCUGGCGGCAGGCCUAACACAUGCAAGUCGAACGAGUGGCGGACGGGUGAGUAAUGUCUGGGAAACUGCCCGAUGGAGGGGGAUAACUACUGGAAACGGUAGCUAAUACCGCAUACUAUCGGAUGUGCCCAGAUGGGAUUAGCUUGUAGGUGAGGUAACGGCUCACCUAGGCGACGUUCCCUAGCUGGUCUGAGAGGAUUCCCAGCCACACUGGCACUGAGACGCGGUCCAGACUCCUACGAGAGGCAGCAGUGGGGAAUAUUGGACAUAGGGCGAAAGCCUGAUCCAGCCAUGCCGCGUGUGUGAAGAAGGUCUUCGGAUUGUAAAGCACUUUAAGUUGGGAGGCGUUACCAACAGAAUAAGCACCGGCUAACUCCGUGCCAGCAGCCGCGGUAAUAC